GCACUCUUCCAGCGUACGCCAACCCAGCGCUCAUUUCGCUGUAUGGCGGAUUAGGAUCAACUAUUACCUCUACCGCCUCAUUGAACAGCAAGUGCGCUCGUGGUUUAGCACAAAACAUUGGCCCGUCAAGAGGUAUCGGUGCAUUUUUCGAAUGUAUAUAUACUGCCAUGUGCUAGCUGCACGAGGUUUUAAGCGCCAUCGGUGAAGGGAAAAUGUUUGGCCGCUGAUAAAUGAUGCAUGUUGCAUGCCCGUUCCUGUCCUGCAAUGGCAUCUAAUACUUUCAGCUGCUGUGCGGUGAGCACGAAAUCGAAAACAUCCAUAUUUUCUUGCUGACGGGAACGGUUGCUAGAUUUUACUAUCGGAACAACGCCGCCAUCGAUCUGAAAUAAUAAAAGUACAUUACAUGACUGUUACGAUGAAGCAGUUGGCACAAUACUCA